AGCGAACGCUGGCGGCAGGCCUAACACAUGCAAGUCGAGCGGCCGUAGCAAUACGGCAGCGGCAGACGGGAGAGUAACACGUGGGAACGCGCCCUUCGGUUCGGGAUAACUCAGGGAAACUUGGGCUAAUACCGGAUACGCCCUUACGGGGAAAGAUUUAUUGCCGAAGGAACGGCCCGCGUCCGAUUAGCUUGUUGGGGAGGUAACGGCUCACCAAGGCGACGAUCGGUAGCUGGUCUGAGAGGAUGACCAGCCCCACUGGGACUGAGACCCGGCCCGGACUCUUGCGGGAGGCAGCAGUGGGGAGUAUUGGACAAUGGGCGCAGGCCUGAUCCAGCCAUGCCGCGUGGGUGAUGAAGGCCCUAGGGUUGUAAAGCCCUUUCAGCGGGGAAGAUACUGACGGUACCCGCAGAAGAAGCCCCGGCUAACUUCGUGCCAGCAGCCGCCGUAAGAC
rnacentral:rRNA from 1 species